CCUACGGGUGGCAGCAGUGGGGAAUAUUGGACAAUGGGCGAAAGCCUGAUCCAGCCAUGCCGCGUGUGUGAAGAAGGCCUUCGGGUUGUAAAGCACUUUCAGUGGGGAAGAAAGCCUUGGGGCUAAUACCCUCGAGGAAGGACAUCACCCACAGAAGAAGCACCGGCUAACUCCGUGCCAGCAGCCGCGGUAAUACGGAGGGUGCGAGCGUUAAUCGGAAUUACUGGGCGUAAAGCGCGCGUAGGCGGUCUGAUAAGCCGGUUGUGAAAGCCCCGGGCUCAACCUGGGAACGGCAUCCGGAACUGUCAGGCUAGAGUGCAGGAGAGGAAGGUGGAAUUCCCGGUGUAGCGGUGAAAUGCGUAGAGAUCGGGAGGAAUACCAGUGGCGAAGGCGGCCUUCUGGACUGACACUGACGCUGAGGUGCGAAAGCGUGGGUAGCAAACAGGAUUAGAUACCCGGGUAGUC
rnacentral:rRNA from 1 species